rnacentral:rRNA from 1 species
UUCCAGACUCCUACGGGAGGCAGCAGUGGGGAAUUUUGCGCAAUGGGGGAAACCCUGACGCAGCAACGCCGCGUGCGGGACGAAGGCCCUCGGGUUGUAAACCGCUUUCAGCAGGGAAGAUCCAAGACGGUACCUGCAGAAGAAGCUCCGGCUAACUACGUGCCAGCAGCCGCGGUAAUACGGAGGAUGCGAGCGUUAUCCGGAUUUAUUGGGUUUAAAGGGUGCGUAGGCGGAAUGCCAAGUCAGCGGUAAAAUCGCGGGGCUCACCCUCGCGCCGCCGUUGAAACUGGCGUUCUUGAGUGGGCGAGAAGUAUGCGGAAUGCGUGGUGUAGCGGUGAGAUGCAUAGAUAUCACGCAGAACUCCGAUUGCGAAGGCAGCAUACCGGCGCCCAACUGACGCUGAAGCACGAAAGCGUGGGUAUCGAACAGGAUUAGAUACCCCUGUAA